rnacentral:lncRNA from 1 species
CCGGGCUGAGGUGGCGUGUGGGUGGCCGUGCCCCUCUGCCUGGAGCCGCCUCAAAUCAACUUUAUUGACAGUAGGCGGUGACCGGCAGGCGGGGUGCACGCUGGGCACACGUGCCUGGUCGGUGUUACUUGAAGCGUGGGGACUAGAAGUCAGACCCUGAGGAGCAUGAUCUCUGGAAGCUGGAGAGACCUUAAGAGUUAGGCCAACCUGUUGUGGGUGCUGGAAUCCUUUGGGCACCAAGAAGUGCUUGCACACGCUCUAGUGAUGGGGAACUUAACACUUCAUGAAAUCUGCCAAACUGUUUUUCCAGAGUUGCUGUGUCAUUUAUGUUAUGUCCCCAGUGCAUGAGACAUCUGGAUCCUUUCCAGCACUUGUUCCUUCCUCCACCGAAGUCUUG